rfam:Medicago truncatula strain A17 chromosome 2, whole genome shotgun sequence.
UUGGGUUAAAUCAAUGUGGGUCAUACACUUUGGAAAUGGAACUCACAUAAAAUGGUGGAAUAUACAUUGAUUUUAUCCAU